GGCAUGGCGCUGGUGGUGUAGGGGUUAGCGCGUGACCACAUAUAGAGGCUAUAGUCCUCGAAGCGGCCGUCCCGGGUUCGAGUCCCGGACCCGUGACCUUUGCCA